rnacentral:rRNA from 1 species
UGGUGACCAGCGGAGGGAUCAUUACUGAGUUACAAACUCCAAACCUUUGUGAACAUACCACAGUUGCUUCGGCGGCCUCGCCCCGGGCGCGGCGGAACCCUUCGGGGGACCGCGGCGACCCGGACCCAGGCGACCGCCGGGGGACCCAAACUCUUGUCUUUUAGUGUAUUAUCUGAGUGGCAUAAGCAAAAUAAAUCAAAACUUUCAGCAACGGAUCUCUUGGUUCUGGCAUCGAUGAAGAACGCAGCGAAAUGCGAUAAGUAAUGUGAAUUGCAGAAUUCAGUGAAUCAUCGAAUCUUUGAACGCACAUUGCGCCCGCCAGUACUCUGGCGGGCAUGCCUGUCCGAGCGUCAUUUCAACCCUCAGCACCCCCGUUCGCGGCGGGAGCUGGCGUUGGGGAUCGGCCGUCCUCUGCGGCGGCCGGCCCCGAAACGAAGUGGCGGUCACGUCGCGACCUCCUCUGCGUAGUAGCAAUAUCUCGCAGCCUGGAUAGCGGCGCGGCCAUGCCGUAAAACCCCAACUAUAUCAAGGUUGACCUCGGAUCAGGUAGGAAUACCCGCUGAACUUAAGCAUAUCAAUA